rnacentral:rRNA from 1 species
UGGGGAAUCUUGCGCAAUGGGCGAAAGCCUGACGCAGCGACGCCGCGUGGGGGAAGAAGGCCUUCGGGUUGUAAACCUCUUUCAGCAGGGACGAAGCCACUCGGGUGAAUAGCCCAGAGGGUGACGGUACCUGCAGAAGAAGCCCCGGCUAACUACGUGCCAGCAGCCGCGGUAAUACGUAGGGGGCAAGCGUUGUCCGGAUUUAUUGGGCGUAAAGAGCGUGUAGGCGGCCAGGCAGGUCCGUUGUGAAAACUGGAGGCUUAACCUUCAGACGUCGAUGGAAACCGUCUGGCUAGAGUCCGGAAGAGGAGAGUGGAAUUCCUGGUGUAGCGGUGAAAUGCGCAGAUAUCAGGAAGAACACCCGUGGCUAAGGGGGCUCUCUAGUACGGUACUGACGCUGAGACGCGAAAGCGUGGGGAGCGAACAGG